rnacentral:rRNA from 1 species
AGAAUCAACGCUGGCGGCGUGCCUAACACAUGCAAGUCGCACGAGAAAGGGACUUCGGUCUUGAGUAAAGUGGCGCACGGGUGAGUAACACGUGAAUUAUCUACCUCCGAAUGGGGAAUAACUGAGAGAAAUCUUAGCUAAUACCGCAUAAUACCUACGGGUCAAAGCAGCAAUGCGUUUGGAGAGGAGUUCGCGGUCGAUUAGUUAGUUGGCGGGGUAAUGGCCCACCAAGACGAUGAUCGAUA